rnacentral:rRNA from 1 species
UACGUAGGGGGCAAGCGUUGUCCGGAUUGAUUGGGCGUAAAGAGCUCGUAGGUGGUUCGGUAAGUCGGAUGUGAAAUCUCCAGGCUCAACCUGGAGGGGUCAUUCGAUACUGCCGUGACUAGAGGUCGGUAGGGGAGUGUGGAAUUCCUGGUGGAGCGGUGAAAUGCGCAGAUAUCAGGAAGAACACCUAUGGCGAAGGCAGCUCUCUGGGACGGUACUGACGCUGAGACGCGAAAGCGUGGGGAGCGAACAGG